rnacentral:tRNA from 1 species
GCCUCUGUGGCGAAAUUGGCUAGCGUGUUCGGCUGUUAACCGGAAGGCUGGUGGUUCGAUCCCACCCAGGGUCG